rnacentral:lncRNA from 1 species
GACAACUCGCGGGGAUUGUUUUCCACACCGUGGAAGCUUUGUUCUUUUCGUUUUUUGCAAUAAAUCUUGUUGCUGCUCGCUUUUUGGGUCCACAUUGCUUUUAUGAGCUGUACCACUCACCGUGAAGAUCUGCAGCUUCACUUCAGAGCCUAGCGAGACCACAAGCUCACUGAGAGGAACAAACAACUCCAGACGCGCUGUCUUAAGAGCUAUAACACUCACCGCGAAGGUGUGCAGUUUCACUCCUGAGCUAGUGAGACUACGAAGCCACUGGAACGAAGAAACUCCAACCACGUUUGAACAUCAGAAGGGGCAGACUCCAGACGCUUCAUCUUAAGAGCUGUAACACUCACUGUGAAGGUCUGCAGCUUCACUCCUGAGCCAGCGAGACCACGAACCGAUCUGAACAUCAGAAGGGACAGACUCCAGAUGCCCCACCUUAAGAGCUGUAAUACUCACUGCAAGGGUCUGCAGCUUCAUUCUUGAAGUCAGACCAAGAACCCAGCAAUUCCCAACACACAGGGACCAGCUUCUUUCCUAACUCACUUAGGCUCUUCGUGCUGCUCUGGCAACUAACACCCUUGGCUGCAGGGGCUUGGACACUACCCUUAGUCACUGACAAUUGUGUGAAGGCUGCUGUCGUUAACUUCACUUGAUCACCUUAGGCUCCUGUGAAGUGGUGAGCAAUUCAAACAAAUUCCUGUCGUCAAAUCAUAAUCCUGAUUUUGUUUGGAAGGACAGCGUGCCUGGUUCCAGGACUUGAAUCAUUCGUUUGUCCAGCAUCUCCAUGCUGUGUACGCUACCCGCCUGUUAGUCAUUGACACUGUCUGCUCCUGACAUCCACCCAUCAAUAUUGUCAUUGCUCAAUGAUCCAGGAUCACCGAGAGCAGAUGAGCCUCCUGAUGCAUGGUCAGAAGGUCAAUAGUAGCUUACUUCUCCGUCACAACGCCUGAGUUAUUCACCUCACCUCACCUCAUCACAUGGCCAUUUGAAUCAUCUUAUAUCAUCACAAGAAGAAAGAUGGAGAAAUUGCACUGCAGAGAAAUCUUUAAAAGCAAUUACCUAAUACUGCAGAUUGCUGAACUGUACCCACACCCAAGACUGAGCAUUGGAUCAAUCCAGAAUAUACAUCAGGUGUUCUGCAAUGUCUGCCUAAAACCAUGACUCUGCCUCCUCCAGCUGUUGCUACAUCUCACUAUGGGUUUCCUGUGACAUUUUGAGCAAGUAUGCCUCUGUGACUGGGGUUCUUACACUCCAGAAUGGAUGAGAAGCACCGUAAGUGGCUUUUAAAAUGAAUAUUCCCUGGCCCUUCAGUCGCUCUAUAGGUCAAGAAUCUGAAUUCUCAACCUGUCUAGAAGGUUCUGGUUUUAAUGGUCUGUGGGCUGCACAUUGAGAAACCUGUUCAGCGAGUGCAACAAAGGUUCCACAUGUGAGAAAGGAAGCAUCAGGUCUCUUGAGCCUGUUCUUUAAUCUGUAGGCUGCACCUUCUCUUUAAAUUCUGCUAAUAACACCAUGCGAGAAAACACCCGAGCUUGAAAAGCCCAUGUUCCAACAUAACUGUCCUUCACCACUCUGGAAAAUUAAUGGUUUGUUUCGAUUAUCCCUUUGUUAAACUCCAAAGUCAAAGAGCUCUGAAAGGCAUACGGUUAUUUUAAGUUUCAGGUGAUUUCUGUUGCCAAAUAUUUUAAAAAUUUAAAAUUGCUACGUGACCUCUUAGUAGUACUAUUAGAUUUCCUGACAAUAAAAAUAAGUCUUUUGGUUUCACCAUUUAUAGUUAGUACAGCUAAUAUUAAGUAUAAUUUUAAAAGCCUUUUAUUUUCUCAGAAAGAAAAAAUAAUCAAAAUCUGCUCAGUGUGGUAUUGAAUAAUUAAAAACAAAAGAACAGUAUCUUCACAUUAGUGUUUAAUAUUAAUUGCUUUUUUACCCUUGACACUGGUGCUAAUUAAAUUUUCAUUUUAUUUUCCAUGACUUGUUUAAACAGUUUUUGCAAAUUAUUGCUAAUCAGCCUAAUAAAACUGAAUCACCUAUUAAACAAUUUUGUUUUGAAUUAAAUGGCAUUAAAAUAA